rnacentral:rRNA from 1 species
GACGAACGCUGGCGGCGUGCUUAACACAUGCAAGUCGAACGAUGAAGCCCAGCUUGCUGGGUGGAUUAGUGGCGAACGGGUGAGUAACACGUGGGCAACCUGCCCCAAACUCUGGGAUAACUCCUCGAAAGAGGUGCUAAUACCGGAUACGAACUAGACAGACAUCUGUACUAGUUGGAAAGUUUUUCGGUUUGGGAUGGGCCCGCGGCCUAUCAGCUUGUUGGUGAGGUAACGGCUCACCAAGGCUACGACGGGUAACCGGCCUGAGAGGGCGACCGGUCACACUGGGACUGAGACACGGCCCAGACUCCUACGGGAGGCAGCAGUGGGGAAUAUUGCGCAAUGGGCGAAAGCCUGACUCAGCGACGCCGCGUGAGGGAUGAAGGUCUUCGGAUCGUAAACCUCUUUCAGUAGGGACGAAGCGAAAGUGACGGUACCUAAAGAAGAAGCACCGGCUAACUACGUGCCAGCCGCCGCCGUAA